GUCGCAUAUGUCAGUUGGAUUCUAUUUAAUUGUCAUGAAUGACACCAAUUCGUCAUCUACAUUGGUAACUAGUAUAUAAAUCAGAGAUACACGUCGUAAUGUAACCAAACAACAGUAAGUAAAUAUAUUGAGAUGCUAAAAUAUAAAGAAUAGAGAAAGAAUAAUGAGUAAAAUAAAUAAAAUCUAGGGAAAAGUGACAUACAAAUUUAAAGAAUACAGAAAUAAACAACACUCCCAAUCUAGACCCUCAUGGUAUACACGAGAAUCUGAAUGGAGACGCAUAAUAUAGAAUAAUAUAUAAGGACAGUAGAGAGUGAUGCAUUGCUAAAAAAAAAGAGAGAAAAAAAUAUUAUUGUUUAAGAAUACAGACACGAAUCAUCCCUGGGUGUUAAAACAGUAACGGAUUGCGAUGUUCUCAAAUUGGUGAUAAAUGCUAGACGUUUACAUGCGGAC
rnacentral:lncRNA from 1 species